AGUGAACGCUGGCGGUAGGCCUAACACAUGCAAGUCGAACGGCAGCACAGUAAGAGCUUGCUAUUAGGGGCGGCGAGUGGAGUAAGGGUGAGGAAUACACCGGAAUCUACUUUUUCGUGGGGGAUAACGUAGGCAAACUUCCGCUAAUACCGCAUAAGACCUACGGGUGAAAGCAGGGGAUCUUCGGACCUUGCGCGACUGAAUGAGCCGAUGUCGGAUUAGCUAGUUGGGGGGGUAAAGGCCCACCAAGGCGACGAUCCGUAGCUGGUCUGAGAGGAUGAUCAGCCACACUGGAACUGAGACACGGUCCAGACUCCUACGGGAGGCAGCAGUGGGGAAUAUUGGACAAUGGGCGCAAGCCUGAUCCAGCCAUACCGCGUGGGUGAAGAAGGCCUUCGGGUUGUAAAGCCCUUUUGUUGGGAAAGAAAAGCAGCAGGUUAAUACCCCGCUGUUCUGACGGUACCCAAAGAAUAAGCACCGGCUAACUUCGUG
rnacentral:rRNA from 1 species